CUUGAGUGAGGCUCCCAAUAAUAAACGAACGUUUAACGGUGAUAUCAAUUAUUAAGAUCACGAAAGACUUUGUGAAUAUGGAAAUACUUUUGAAGUACUUUGAGGAUAUGGAAAGGAAGGACGUGCUUUUAAUUACUAGCGUAUGCGUCGGUGCUUUGGUCCUGAUGUUUGGCCUCGGUCUGGCUGCAGGAACUAUGGUUGGUGGAGGGUCGAUUAUAUUUUCCAUCUUUACGUUAUAUAAGUGAAUGAGUUCAAGAUAAUUGCAACAUAACAUAUCACCCUAGUACGAAGAGUGUGUGUGUUUUUAAAAAAAACGAGUAUAUGUGCACUUUUUUAUUUUUCCUUUUUAAAAUAUAAUAUUACUAUGUUCAAUGUUUGCUUUGUGUAAUGGGAGGUUUAAAACAAGUAGUCUACACAUACUUGUAUGUCUUGUCUGAACUUAUUUCAUUUGAUCAAUUUCCAAAUUAUUGCGUUAUAAAUGUUUAGUUUGUUAUAAAUGUUCACAACACGAAUUUGUUUGCAAUUUGGAAUAUAUAAUUGGUUAAGUUCUAUAAUUGUGAAUAUGUUAUGAUAUAUUACCUUAAUUUCUCAAUAAAAUAGUUGUUAACUGA